rnacentral:rRNA from 1 species
GAUGAACGCUAGCGGCAGGCCUAAUACAUGCAAGCCGAACGGCAAGAAUUAUAGCAAUAUGAUUCCUAGAGUGGCGUAAGGGUGCGUAACACGUAUGCAAUCUGCCCUCAACAGGAGGAUAGCUCCCCGAAAGGGGAAUUAAGACUUCAUAGAAUCGAGAGGUGGCAUCACCAUUCGAUUAAAUUACAAGAGGUUGAGGAUGAGCAUGCGCAUGAUUAGUUAGUUGGCGGGGUAACGGCCCACCAAGACGAUGAUCAUUAGGGGAACUGAGAGGUUGAUCCCCCACACUGGCACUGAGAUACGGGCCAGACUCCUACGGGAGGCAGCAGUAGGGAAUAUUGGACAAUGGGUGCGAGCCUGAUCCAGCCAUGCCGCGUGCAGGAAGAAAGCCUUCUGGGUUGUAAACUGCUUUUGCCUGGGGAUAAAAAUUCCAUGCGUGGAAGAUUGAAGGUA